ACAUAACUGAUGCCUCCGCGUAUCGACUUUGUGCGCAUUUUAGCUAUUAUGUGUUCUUUUAAUUAAAAUGAUUCUUUUUAAGAUUCAUCUAUUAAAAAUUUGCUUCGGCAUAAUUUUUUUUGAUGAUCUUGUUACUUUGAGUAAAUUAGAGUGUUCAAAGCAAACAGAUAUAGCAUUUGUGCGUUUGAAUACUACAGCAUGGAAUAGCAAAAUUGAACAAGUCAGAAUUUUUUUGUUCUUUUUUCUUAUUUUGGCUUAGUUACGAUUAAUAGGAGUAGCUUGGGGGCAUUUGUAUUCAGAUGUCAGAGGUGAAAUUCUUAGAUUUUCUGGAGACAAACAACUGCGAAAGCAUUUGCCUAAAAUACUUCCAUUAAUCAAGAACGAAAGUUAAGGGAGUGAAGACGAUCAGAUACCGUCGUAAUCUUAACCAUAAACUAUGCCGACUAGGCUUUGGAUGAAAGAUUUUAAAAUAAGAGUUUUUCUUUUCUCUCCGGAGAUUAGAACUCUUAGAUUGCUUCCUUCAGUGCCUUAUGAGAAAUCAAAGUCUUUGGGUUCUGGGGCGAGUAUUCGCGCAAGCGAGAAAGUUAAAAGAAUUGACGGAAGGGCACCACCAGGCGUGGAGCUUGCGGCUUAAUUUGACUCAACACGGGAAAACUCACUAGUUUAAGACAAGAGUAGGAUUGACAGAUUAAUAGCUCUUUCUUGAUUUCUUGGAUGGUGAUGCAUGGCCGUUUUUAGUUCGUGAAUAUGAUUUGUCUGGUUAAUUCCGAUAACGAACGAGAUCUUAACCUGCUAAUUAGCGGCAAAUACGAUAUAUUCUUAUGUAGAAUUGAAUAUAGUGGAUUUGUUGGAUUUUGAAGAAAAUAUUGGAAUUACGUUAAAUGUGAUUCCUUUCCCUUUUCUACUUAAUUUACAUUUCCAUCUAUUUCUUUUUUGCGUAUGAAUGUAUUUGCUUGAUUGUAAAGCUUCUUAGAGGAACGAUGUGUG
rnacentral:rRNA from 1 species